GUGUGUGUGUGUGUAGGAGAAAGAGAUUUGAAGAUGCUAUACUGCUGGCUUUGAAGAUGAAGGAAGGGGCCAUGAACCAAGGGAUGCACAUGGCUUCUA